CUUCACUCUGCUGAUGGCUGGCUUAGGCUCUGCAUUCUCUCUCUCCCUCUUCCCCUCCCGCUACCGAACUUGCCCUUGAAAUUUCAGCAGCUGCUGUUGAAAGCAUUCUUUUUGAAGGCCACUAGGGACCCCUAAUUGCCCAACUCAGUCGCUUUCAUAGUCUUCAUCCUCUUGACCUCUUCUCAGGGCAACGGACUGGCUCACCCGCCCUUCUCCCUAAAACCACAGAAGGCCGCGCUUGGCUGUCCCAGUCUCUGCCCAUUUCCUUCAACAAAAAUGACAGAAUGCCGGCUGCUCUGGGAGGUACAGAGGUGGAUCCACUGUGGAGCCAGCUUUGCAGGUGGUGGCUUGUCAGGAAAAUUCUGCAGGUCCUGGUCUUUUUUUCUUUUCUUUUCUUUCUUUUUUUUUUUUUUUUUUGAGACUGAGUCUCACUCUAUUGCCCAGGCUGGAGUGCAGUGGCAUGAUCUCGGCUCACCGUGACCUCCGCCUCCCGGAUUCAAGUGAUCCUCUUGCCUGAGCCUCCCAGGUAGCUGGGAUUACAGGCGCCCACCACCACGCCCAGCUUAUUAUUGUAUUUUUAGUAGAGACAGAGUUUCACCAUGUUGGCCAGGCUGGUCUCCAGAACUCCUGACCUCAGCUGAUCUAGCCGCCUUGGCCUCCCAAAGUGCUGGGAUUACAGGCAUGAGCCACCACACCCGGCCUGGUCCUGGUAUUUCUUGUAUACUCCCCACACCCCAGUGAAGAUGUUCUCUCAGCUUUUGUCCUCAGAUGGGGUGCCUGGAAUUGGUCUUUCCCCUGGAGGAGCCCCACCUUCUAGUGGUUUCAACUUUGCCUCUCCUUCAACAACCCAGGAGGGCAGCCCUGAGUCUCUGACCCUGACUCAGUGGAUGUCCAGGCAGAAUUAUGUCAGGAAUGGAUCUGGGCUUAGUGUUUCUUCCUCAGCAGCCCCUAGGGCAAACAGACCUCCCCUCAUACUCCUUUCCCAGGCCGUGAGCUCUUUUUAGGCAGGUUGGGGUCUAAUUCUUCUCUAUCCCUCGGCACUGGGCAUGCAGUUGGCCCUCCAUCAAUAUUUAUG
rnacentral:lncRNA from 1 species